rnacentral:lncRNA from 1 species
AUGAGCGGCUCCGCUGGCGAGAGGACGCGGCGCGUGUUGGGCUGGACCUCCCUCCUCUGGUUCACCUCAGCCGUCGGCUUCGCAGCCGGUAACAAGUUGGCCCUGGAGGUUCCGCUGGAGGUGAACGCCGGCUGCGGAGACAACGUGACGCUCACGUGCGACGCCCGCACCGUCCAGGCGCCCGGCGACAGCUCCGCGCCGACGCUCGACAUCCUCAUGUUCGCCUGGUUGGACGGCAAGAAGACGCUGUGUGAGAGCGUCAACGGGAACACGGACCCCGGGGAUCUGUGUGAGGUCACAGCGGGAGCGUCCCACCACCGGCUCACGCUCACGCUCCUCAACGUGAUGCCAGUCAACGAGGGGAAGUACAUCUGCAAAUUCCGGUCCAAACUGGGAUCAGUGUUCAAUGUCACCAACCUCACAGUCACACAUUGCUCUCAGCUGAUCGCGGUGGAGAGGAGCGCGUCGGUGCUGGAGAGGAGCACGACGGCGGGAGGCCGACGGGACCGCCUGCACUGGAUCUGCGCUAUGGUGGCUGUGAUCACGUUCAAGUCUGUGACAUAGAGAGAAAACCACCAGAAGCACAGCGCGUCCCAACGGGGAACCUGGCUCCAGCCAAGCGUUCCACCAGCUUCACCACAUGAGGGCAGCACCGCAUUUAGUGACGCUCAACUUUCUGCAUGUGGGACUUUGACUCUAACUCUGCUUAAAUGGAAGACUUCGCUUUGUUAGUGGGAACCGACGCUCUGACGUGGAUCAAAGGCUUUUGUUUUUUAAGGCUGUGUAAAAAUGCUGAAUAAAAAUGUGAGUAGCAUUCA